rnacentral:lncRNA from 1 species
CGCGUUAUUGUCGUCAAGGGCUUCGGUCUUUACUUGUUCAUUGUUUUAGGCGUCUAAUUGCUUGUCCAACAUCUAAAAAGUGAUUGAUACAUUAUCCUUACAAGCGAUUGUGAAACCUGUUUCAUAUUUGGAAUAUGGAAUUACAAAAGCAUGCUUUUGCCAUAGUGGAUUUAUUUGCUACGAACGGCACGUAUGUUCAUGUUGUCCGUACAACCUGGAUUAUAACUGGAAACACACAGUGCUUGGUUCCUAAACAUCACACUUAUGAGGCACACAUCAGAAAGACUGAGAAACCAGAAUCUGAUUGGAUUUUAUACCCGUGCCAUGUUCGCAAAGGAUAUGAUUCCUAUGAGACAGCAAGGAGACACCUUGCUGAAGCAACUGUGAAUUCCGAAAUAAAUUCAACUGAUGUCGAAGUAAAUGCAAUGGGAAGAGGCCAAUCGAAAGAAAAUUGGAAACAAGAGGUACUCACCUUAUGAGGAGAAGAGACCGUCAAUAGAAAUAGAUGGAGAAGAUUCAGAAGAUAACAGUGUUGGGUUUUAUGGUCCCACGCAAAGUUUACUUCCUACCAUUCCUAUUCCUCGACAUUUGAUGGCAAGUACAAGCAACCCAAUGGAAGAAGGGAUGAUGUCCACUAACAGCAGGCAGGAUCCUACCCUGAUUAGUGAAGGAAAUUUAGAUUCUUGGGACAUGACUGAAGAACAGAGUGCCAUCUCAAACAUCACUAUUCAGCCUAAAGAUUUGACGCAAUCAACGAGCAACUCAAUUCAAGAAAGUCGUAAAAAGAUCUUGGGCCGCAUUCAUCUCAUUGAAAGUAAAGGCCUCUUGCAAUUGGGAGGGGAAACCUCGAAAGGGUAUCCAAAAGCACGGUCUACAAAAAUCGUUGCUAACUGAAGCCAUUUUCAAAGGAAUUACUAUUUCGAAGCCUUUUAAAGGCGCAAACCAAUUUGAUUUGGAGUUUGAAACCAAAAAAAUUAUGAAAAGUGCUCCAGAAUUAUUCCAACGAGUCCAGCAGAGCCUUGGGAAAGACAACAGCAUACCACGGGAUAUCAGUGAAGACAGUGGAUAACUCCCUAUUAGUUCAUUGAACGGGUAUGGAGUCGGAGUCAUGUUCCUCACUCAAUUUCGUGAUUGUUUCGUCUUGUGUUUCUCAAUUUAGUCAGCACGUGUCCGUGCACAUGGACCAAAUUAAAACUGAUAUAUGUUAAAUCUACUGUAUCGUUUUUGAAAUUUCUGCUGUGAAUACAUGAUAUUCAGCUCCCUA